GGUCGAUGCCACGAAGAGCGGCACCUAUUUCGCCCGUGUACUACGUAGCCGGGCCGACUUCACGCUUUACUCACACCAGCCGCGCCACACCUGCUAGCUCAACCAUGACAUGGGGCCUGUUUCACCGAUCGCCAACUGCCCACCUGUUCACCUUGCGGCCUGCUAGCUUGCUGGCCGGCUGAUCAAGGAGCGAGUAACGGACAGCGUUCGGCGCAACAACUAAGCCACGAGUGUGGGCGGUCAGCGAUAACAUCGUCGCUGAUGACUGACGGCAGCGGUGACGUCAGGAGCCUGGACGGUGCCAACACCUAUAAAACGAAGGACCAAACCAUGCUGGAGUGCAGUCCGGUGGAGCGUCGACCAACGUGCUGAUCUUUGCUGCUUACUUCUAGUGAAGCCACCACAGAGCGAGCGCAUGGCGAGGAGGUCGUCAUAUCCACGGAAAGACCACCUGUAUGACGCGGCGCCGACUCGGGGGCCACGGCAGACGCGACCAGCGGCUCCCUUCUUGCUGCGGUGCGGAGCAAGCUGACGUCACGCGUAAUAGCAACGGAUAGAGCUGACGUCACACCACGUGCACCGGCUCUGGUGGGGCCACGGUUAGACCUGGCAUAGUAUUGCUUUGGCAAUAAAAGUGUGCGGAUGCGGUCGCGGAUAACACUUUAAACUCGGCGGUCGAACACAUGGCUUGCCACAAGGGGAACACAUCUUGCUACUCUCGCAAAGAAGAGACGCCGUGGACAUGCACAGCGACCACAGGGACG